AAAUUAUAGUGACCCACUAAUUAGUAUUAAUAAAGUCUGUUGUUUUAAAAGGGCUAGUAUUCUAUCUUGCAACGAAAGAUCAGAUUGUAACGAGUUAUGUUCGAAAUGGUAGAAAGUUAGAUCAAGCUGAGUCAUGUUCGAAGUGGAGUGAAGCUGAUUGGGCCUAAUCACAAUCGACACCAAGGGCACUAUAUCUGUACACUUUACGUACAUUAGUUGUAUCUUUCUAACAGUUCGAGUUUUUAAAAUUAAUGGUUAGUGUCAAAAAUUUGACAAAGUUGUGUAAAUUGAAGCCACAAUU
rnacentral:lncRNA from 1 species